CGCAUGCGCCUGCUUCCCGGCGCUCGCAGAGGGCGAGGAAGCGUGAGGCGCUCUUUCUCCCACUGCGCUUGCGCGAGAUGUAACGCGCCUCCACCGGGACGCGCAGUGACCGGGAGCAGGGUGGGCAGGUCGGUGCCUCUCUUCCUGUUGCCCUUAAGGGCGCCCUGGGUGUGGUUCCCCUUCCUGGAGACCUCGAAAGGAAGAAGGCGCGAUGGCCUAGCCGGCCGAGGCAGGCGUUAAAGGGAAGAGGCCAGCAUGGUUGAAAACUCUCCAGCCCCAUUGCCAGAAAGAGCAAUAUAUGGAUUUGCUCUUUUUCUAGGAUCGUGGUUUGGCUUUAUUCUGUAUCUUAUCUGGGCAUAUGUUCCUGAGACUUGGCUGUUCUCAUUGGGACUAACAUACUGGCCUCAAAAGUACUGGGCAGUUGCUUUGCCUGCAUAUCUACUAGUUACUAUAGGAAUAGGCUAUAUAUUACUUUUUGGUAUUAACAUGAUGAGUACAGCUCCACUCAACUCCACACAUACUAUUACAGAUAAGUAUGCAAAAAAGCAACAACAGAAGAAAUUUCAAGAAGAAGCAAUUCCUGCAUUGAGGGAUGUUUCCAUCAGUGAAGUAAACAGAAUGUUUUUCCUUCCUGAAAAAGGCAUCUGCAAUAGCAGUUAAUUUUAUUUAAGAUAGGGUGACCAGCACAGGAAAUGGAAAGAAAAAGAAACAUGGAAUCUCAAAUUUUAUUUCAGUGAAUGACCACAGAAGUGAUGUCCUUGCAGAAAACUGUACCAAGUGAAGAAACAUGUUCUGACAGUAGUAGGACAGGAGAAGUCCUCCUCCUUGAGGAUCAGUCUGGACUGCAACUGAGGUGGCCUCCAUUUAUUUCUUGUGGACCUAUGAAGAGCUGUUUCUCAUUUAUCCUGCAACAACAGUAACAUCAGUGCUUGCUGAACAUAUAUGACCACAAGCAUCCACUGGUCUCAUCUGGUAUUUUUCUAAAGGAUAAACAUAGCACACUGCUGGGCUUCUGCAGGGCAGGCAGAGAAGCUAUGAAGGAGGAAGUAAGAGACAGCAGUCUUGAUAGAAAGCACCAUGCAGAAUGCAGGUGUCCAUUCCAGUUGUGGGAAGCUUGGGGAACAUCCUGGAAUUGUGGAAGCCCUCCUGACACUGAACUGAGACUGCAGUGGGUUGCCUAUGGCAUUGAGGUUGAUAUUAAUGAUUUUUGUGUCUUCAAGUAGAGGAGGAGGUAUACACUGAGAGCGGCUUAUUUCAAAAUUUGUAUUGUUUUGCACUGAAAUUUUAAACCUACUGUCUCAAUUUACAUUUCAGGUUUUCACCUGCUUUCCCACUAAAGCAAAACUUAAGGGGUCAUGCUAUUUGUAUACAUAUGUAUGUGUUUUUGUGUGCGUGUGUCUUCCUCUUGUUUCCACUUUGGCCAGUCUUCAGUUAAAUUUGACAGAGGGACAAAGGUCAAACAAAGUUUAAGCUUCUACAACUUAUGUAAAAGCAGAUGCUUGUAAAGAGGAGGGAUAUUCCAUUAGUUUUCCCCCCAAAAUAGAAAGUCUGCAUCAGGAGUUUGUACAUCAUUAAGCCGUAAAGAAUCCAACUGGGGGUGAAAAUUCUUAUGAAUUCCCCCACCAUAAGAAAAGUUUAACUAGAGUUCAGUCUUUAUUCAAGAGCAAAUUUAAGCAACCUCAAGGUACAGGUCUGUAGCAAGUCAUAUUCCAUUAGCAGCUACUCAUGUUAAUUAUCUGGGUAUUGUAGGCUUGGUGUCAUAUUAAUAAAUGUAAGCAUAAAUUAGAUCAGGCAGGAUAACGCCGAGUUUAAGAUGACUUCUUUCGUAUUUUCAGUAUUAGUAUAUUGCUUCAGCUUCUGUUUAGCUUGAGCAUCCUUCUUUGUGGAAGGAUAAAAAUCUAUGAAGUUUGGUGAGUAGCUGAACUGCAUCACUGAAAAGACAUACUCCAGAGAUGAACUUAUAUUUUUCCAUAGAAGGAAUAUGACUUUUGGGGGAAAGUUUCACUUUUCCUGUAUCAAAUGAUAAGAUUUAUCUCACCUCACUGGAUGUUGAAAACCCAGGGCUCCUUUUGGUCUAAAAUUUCGUAGUUGACCAUCCUGUUCUGACUGCAAAGAGACAUAUUUAUCAUUUAAAAUAGGAUAUAAAUUAAGAUUUCACUAUUUUCUUGUACAGAUAACUGUAAAAUUCUGUAGUAGUGUUGCUUUGUUUGAUGUGCUGCACACAAAAUCAGGAGACAGCUAUCAUCUGAUAUUUCUGUUCCAUAGCUUAGAACAAGAUUUCAUUUUCCCUGUUGUUAUAAACUUGACUUUACAUAAAAUAGGGAGAUUUAAUUUUGCUGUACUAAAGUUUUUGUUGAACAGAAUCUAGAAACUGUCCACUCUCCUACAAACAGACAAAGAUGACUUUUGCCACUGUCAGAGCAAUUCAUCGAGGCUAAAGGCUGUUCACAGUGCUUUUUUCUGCGGAAGCAGGCUUCAGCGUGGAUGUUCUGGUGGGCAACAAAAGGCCCUUUGGCUACAGAUUGAGCAAGAGGUCUUGAAUUGUCUCUCUAUUUUUUAUGCUGUCCCUUUUCUCUCAUACCUGCAUGUUUGUCUUUCAGGCAAAAUGUUUUGUUUUCAAGCUGUUAUUUUUUUUUCUCUUUUAAAUCAGGAGACUCAUUUACUUUGUUUCCACAGUACCUAGCAAAAUGGACUUCUCAUCUUGCAGAACAUUGUAGAUGUCAUUAUAGCAUGUAUGUUAAAUAAUUAACACUAUAUGUUAUUUUCCUCUUUUCACAUUUGCAAUAAAAUUGUCUUCUUUAUUUUAUUGA